rnacentral:rRNA from 1 species
UACGGAGGGUGCAAGCGUUGCUCGGAAUUACUGGGCGUAAAGCGUACGCAGGCUGUUCGUUAAGUCGGGUGUGAAAUCCCGGGGCUCAACCCCGGAAUUGCGCCCGAAACUGACGAGCUUGAGUGCGGGAGAGGGAAGCGGAAUUCCUGGUGUAGAGGUGAAAUUCGUAGAUAUCAGGAGGAACACCAAUUGCGAAGGCAGCUCGCUGGGACGUUACUGACGCUGAGACGCGAAAGCGUGGGGAGCAAACAGG